rnacentral:rRNA from 1 species
AGGAUGAACGCUGGCGGCGUGCUUAACACAUGCAAGUCACGGGGGCCUGAGGCGCAAGCCGAGGGCAACCGGCGAACGGGUGCGUAACACGUGAGCAACCUACCGAAAUGAGGGGGAUAGCCGGCCCAACGGCCGGGUAAUACCGCAUACGCUCGAGACCAGGCAUUUGGACUCGAGGAAACCUCCGGGGCGUUUCGAGGGGCUCGCGGCCUAUCAGCUAGUUGGUGAGGUAACGGCUCACCAAGGCAACGACGGUAGCUGGUCUGAGAGGAUGGCCAGCCACAUUGGGACUGAGAUACGGCCAGACUCCGUACGGAGGCAGCAGUGGGAAUCUGCGCAAUGGCUAA